UACGGGCUCUGAGAGAAGGGNCCCGGAGAUGGUACUGAGACACGGACCCAGGCCCUAUGGGCGCAGCAGGCGAGAAACCUUUGCAAUGUGCGAAAGCACGACAAGGUUAAUCCGAGUGUCUCCUGCUAAAGGAGUCUUUUGUCAGUUGUAGAAUCACUGGUGAAUAAGGGGUGGGCAAGUUCUGGUGUCAGCCGCCGCGGUAAAACCAGCACCUCGAGUGGUCAGGAGGUUUAUUGGGCCUAAAGCAUCCGUAGCCGGUUGCAUAAGUUUUCGGUUAAAUCUAUGCGCUUAACGUAUAGGCCGCCGAAAAUACUGUGCAGCUAGGGAGUGGGAGAGGUACACGGUACUCGAUAGGAAGGGGUAAAAUCCUUUGAUCUAUUGAAGACCACCUGUGGCGAAGGCGGUGUACCAGAACACGUUCGACGGUGAGGGAUGAAAGCUGGGGGAGCAAACCGGAUUAGAUACCCGGGUAGUCCCAGCUGUAAACGAUGCAGACUCGGUGAUGCAUUGGCUUGUGGCCAAUGCAGUGCCGCAGGGAAGCCGUUAAGUCUGCCGCCUGGGAAGUACGUACGCAAGUAUGAAAUUAAAGGAUUGGCGGGGGAGCACCACAAGGGGUGAAGCCUGCGGUUCAAUUGGAGUCACGCA
rnacentral:rRNA from 1 species